GGCGCCUGGGGAAGAGAAACAUUGUAAGUAUCCAGGGUUCGUGCAGGUCCUUGAACUCCUUGAAAAGUUCUUGAAUUUGAAAUCCCUUUUCAAGGGCACUUGAAACUCCUGAAAAAUAGGUGAAUCUCCUUAAAAAAUCGUGAAUUCUUCUUAAGAAAGAUCCUAUAACCAAUAUGUAACGAAACAAACGACGAUAUUUCAUAAUUUUUUUUUAUGAAAAGUGCGUCUGUCGUCUUUUCCGAACCUGCCUAUCUCCCUGUGGUAAGUUUUUCCCGCGCUUGGAUGUCACGUGACAGCUUGCAACCUCGAAUUUCCCUUCGAGGCAUUCGAGCAUCGACAGGUGCUUUUUAAACACGCACGCGCACUAUAAAAGGGAGCUCCCUAGGAAAGCUCCGAAAAAUCUGUCAAUCAAAUCAGUUGAGUCAAGACUUCAAAGCGUGCGGACGUGUUUCACGGAGCUCCCGACAAACCAGCAAAUGAGUCGAGCUACAGUGCAAACCUAUCCAAGUGCACAAAGUUUGGAGCCAAAGUUCCAAUGCAUCUCCUCAAACCACUACUCCUACUAAUACUAGCUCUCCACUACCAGUACAAUGUUAAUAUUUGUUUAUUGUAAAUACCUGGAUUAGGCAUGAUCAAGUGUGCUUUACAUGCACAGACUGAUCUAUGCAGUUUACAA